UUAGACACUUGAAGCGCGAGGUCAGAGGACACCAUGAAGAGAUGUCUCAGUUAAGCGAGAGGGUCAGAGAUAUGGAGCGCCUUAUAGACCAGAAGGAGAAAGAACAGCAGCAGCUACAUGAUCAGCUGCGUGAUGGUCAGCAACAGGUCGAGACAUUUGAAGGGAAGCAAGAGAAGCAGGAGCUUGAGAUGGAAUUUCUUCAGCAGCAGCUGCGAGGAGCCAAGGAGCAGCUGAAAGAUGCCAGUUUACAAGCCCAGGAGAAGAAAGAAACAGUAGCCAUUUUUAGACAGAAGUACACAGCAGCGAUGGAGAAGGUGCACCGGGUGCAAGGGCAGGUGGAGCUUUUGGAAGAGGAACUACAGUAUUCACAGCAACAGCUCGGAGAUGCCCAAGUUGGGACUCAUUCAGUGAAAGAGGAGCUAGCCGAGAUGGAGCAGCGGUACCGGGAAAAGGUCGGCCAAUGGGAGUUCUCGCAGGAGGCUCUCGACCAGUUGACGGAUGAGCUCCAGGCCAAUCAGGAUCUAUGGAGGGAGAGUCAACAAAAAGCAGACCAUCUGAAAGGCCUGGCAGGAUCCCUGCAGGAGCAAGUGGACACACUCAAACAGCAGAAAGCGAUGUUGGAGUGUGACCUACAGCUAUAUCAACAGAGUCACUCUCAUGCUGACGAGGAGUUCCUCCGGCAGCUGAGACACCGGCAGCAGCUUCAGAAGCGCUGCACGGAGCAGGUCGAACGCCUUGCAGAGUGUGAGAAGGCGAUUCUUCAGAUGAAGUCAGAGCUGGAGAGACAAGUCCAGGAAAAAGGGGGUCUGAAGCAAAGUCUUCUCGCGUCCCACCAUACACACACGAGCGACCGAAGCCGGCUGGAACAGGAAGUUGUAUGCUUAGAGCUUGAGCUGGCUGACACCCAAAAGGUACAUGUGGCACUUCUCAGACAGUCAGAGGAGGAGCUGAAGGAGGCCGUACAAGAGGCAGCGAGAAGGAGCAGUGAGGUGGAUGUACAGCGAGGAGAGGCGGUGAGGCUUCAGGAAGAGUUACUGAAGGGGGAGGAGAAGGCGAGUAGUGCCAUCAGAGAGAAACAAAGUCUGAGCGCUCGCAUCAGACAGUUGAGCCAAGAGCUGGAGGAGCUACGCAGCAAGCUGCAAGUGACAGUGGAGGAGUUGGCAGCCCGUGCAGAGGAGGCGAGGCGGAUGGAGGGGAGCCUGAAUGAGGGAAAGCUAGCAGAGGGGAAAAUAAGGUCAAUGGCUGCGAGGAUGGAGACGGAGGUGGCAGAGCUCACGAGGAAUCUUCACCAGGCUGUCGACCACAAACUCUCGGCAGAGCGAGAGAAGCGGGAAGCGCAGGAACAAGUGGACACACUCCGGUCGGAGCUGCAGGGGACACGGUCUGACUACGCACACCUUCGCCAUGAGAGCCAGCUGGUCAUGACUAAUGUUGACCGUUGGAUCAGUGAACAAAAGGUUUCCAACGAGAGCCUCAUCGGCCGGAUGAAGGCCCGCCAGCGGGUGCUGCUCCUCGUCACUGAGGAGAAAACACAUCUUCAGGGCGCUAAUGACACGUUGAAGGCGGAGGUAAAGAGACUGAAAGAAGUGGCGCAUGAGAAAGAGAGAGACACGGAACGCUUUAAGGCCAGGAUCCGAAACCAGAGCAUCCGGCAAGACGAGAGAACAAUGGAAAAGCAGAGUUGUGUUGCUCUAAACCUCAGCAAGAUCGAGGACAUGCACAACAGACUGCGAAGCAACCUGGAGGCCAUCGGAAUGCUAAAUCAACAAUUAAACUCCCUCAGCGGGGAGAAUAAGCGGUUGUGUAGGCGGCUGCAGGAGGAGAGGUCUAUGCGUAGACAAGUGGAGCGACUGCUCCCUCCUCCGCCUCCCACCUUCCAGCAGUGCUCCUCCGUCUACCUCCCCCUCUCCCUCAGUGCCUGCCCACCUCCUCCCUCCACCUCCCUACUCUCAUCCCUCCGCCUCCCUCCUCCCUUGAGCCCGGGCACAGCGACGGGGGACAUUGAUGGGAUUCUAACCCAAACCAAGCUGAGCAGAGCCGGGCUAGAGAGACCAGAGACGUGCUGAUCAAGAGAUCCCACAUGAAAGCUUCGAUCCUUUAUUGAUUUCACCUUUUUAAACUGCGUCUCUCCGGAGGGUGUGAUAUUGAGAUUAUGAGAA
rnacentral:lncRNA from 1 species